UUUCAAUUUUUCGGAUACUUUGGAACUCUGUCGGAAUUUGGUGGGGGUUCAAUUCAGUAUGUAAACAGAGGAACUGUAGUCAGUCAGGGAGAAAUGUAGCAAUUUUUCGCAAUUGAAAUUUUAGAUCAAAAAUUCAAGAUUUACAGAGAAACAUAGCUCUUAUAACUUGACUGGUUUUUUUAAACCUGUGCAAUCGGUCUAGAUCCGCACCUGGUAGUAGCAGUUCUUCUAGACUGGAAACCUCUUUUGCUCAUUUUUUAGGUUUUUUAUCUUGCUUAAUGAUAUGAUGUAUUUUCUAACUUGGUUAUCUUGUUGCUUUAUUGCCAUUUUUAUAGUUAUUGAUAUCUUCUCUGGACCAGACUGCUUAUAAAAAUUCAGUAGAAAUAGGCAAGUAUUUUCUAAAAGGGCGUUUUCUGGCGUUCUAGAGGGCAUGACCUCAAAAAAUUUUCAAUUUGCUUGUUAAAGCAGGUUAAACUAGCGUAAAAACUCUAUUAAGCCCCCUCUCCCUUUUAAGCCCCUCUUACCAAGCAAAAAUUUAAAAUAAGCCCCCUCUCUAAUAAGUCCUUCUCUUAAGCCCCUGAUGUCAAACAAAGAAAACAUUCUUUGGGCGUGAUCGUGAAAUUUUAUUUCAAGUAGCGUGAAAGCGUGAUUUGCAAUUAUUUUGCGCGUGAAUGCGUGAUUCAGCAUUCACGAUUGUAAAAAAGGGCAAAUAUGCUUGUUUGAGACAGACAGAAGUAUUGCCUUUUAAAAGAAAGAGGAAAUGAACGUGGAAACUCUGGAUCAUUUAUGAAUGGUUAUUUUUGGCUGUUUCUUGACUUGAUAAAAAGAAAAUUCACUUCCUUUCUACCGGCUAAAAGAGGUUCUGAUAAAAUGAAUAUAGCAACAGUAGCUGUUCCUUGCCUUCCAUUUGUUCGGGCAUCUGCCAAACAAUUGAAAAGCGAAAUAAUAACUUUCCGGAUAACAUUAAAAAUCUUUAGAAUCUAGGAAGGAGACCAAGAAAACAGUAUAUAGAAGGGUUCACUUUUAUUUCUCAAAAAACUGAUAACAUUUUUUAUAUUUUCAUAACACAAAUAUUCCAUAACAUCUACAACACUUGAUAACAUUAAUAAAACAAAAAUUUGAUAACAUGUAUAAAACUUUUGAUAAAAUUUGACAAGAUAUGUCAUUUGUCAAACAUAUAUUGCUGAGGAGUGUUUGAAAUGAGGCGAUCUGGUAAGAAUAAGAGCAAAUUCAGGAAGAAUAGUCUGAUAUCUGUGUGUCAUGAAAGUUAUCUCAAAAUAUUAUAUAGCUCCUUGUUUACGAUGAUAUAAGGGGCACUGUAAGGUCACAGUGGCAGGCAGAUGAAAGGCAAUUAAAUGCUCUGCUUGUAACGUAUAUUUUUGCUUGAAUAAAGACAGAAAUUGCUUCAACUUGUGGGACUGUUACUUGGCUUGUAUAAAUAUACUUUUGUCUAAUUGUAGAAUGUCUGAAACGAGUUGAUAUUUAUUUCUAUCAUAUGGCUAAAAACAGACUUUACCAAAUUUAGCAUAAAAGCAAGUUUUCCCAAAUUUUGUAGUCCUUACGUAAUUACAUAUUAAAUUUUUUUCAAAUAUCAAAAUGAGCUGGAAGAUUGCAGAUACAACAGUUGAUAAACAUACCACUGGAAAU